rnacentral:rRNA from 1 species
UACGUAGGGUGCAAGCGUUAUCCGGAAUUAUUGGGCGUAAAGAGCUCGUAGGCGGUUUGUCGCGUCUGCUGUGAAAAACUGGAGGCUCAACCUCCAGCCUGCAGUGGGUACGGGCAGACUAGAGUGCGGUAGGGGGAGAUUGGAAUUCCUGGUGUAGCGGUGGAAUGCGCAGAUAUCAGGAGGAACACCAAUGGCGAAGGCAGAUCUCUGGGCCGUAACUGACGCUGAGGAGCGAAAGCAUGGGGAGCGAACAGG